rnacentral:lncRNA from 10 species
CCUACCCUACCACAUUUCUACCACUGUGGCCGAGCUGCGGUCUCUGAUUUCACCACCAACCGCAGCGAGGCGAGCCGCGGAGGCGCAAGCUCCGGCUCCAGCCUCCAGCACGCGGCGGUGCCUCUUCUUUCUGUCUUCCAGCCCGGCAGGAGAAGCUCUCGCUGCUAGCCUCCCUCCUACCGCUCCGUCACCACCACCACCAACAGGGAGGGAGUGCCCCAGGCUCCAGGCUCCAAGCUCCAGGCUCCAGGGGGCGAAAAGUGACGGAGCCUUCCAGUUCUUUAAGCCGGGUUUCCGUGUGUUUCUAUUGAGCUGCUCAGUGCCCGGCUUAGAAGACCAGGAAAAGGAGUCACAGGUCGUAUGCUGGAGGCUUGAGCCGCGGCACCGUGGCGCGGCUCGCCUCGCUGCGGUUGGUGGUGGCGGUGGACAUUGCAGCGCGGCUGGAGGGGUAGGAAGAAGAAGAUAGUUUUGGGAUAGAUAGAGGUGAGAUAUUCCUGCACAUCCUCUGGUGACCCCAGAAUGAGGGGGACUCGCUGGUGAAUUGCCUCGGGCUUCACGUCCAGUACAGGCUGGGUCCCCGUGGUCGCCAAGCCUCCUGCCUGCUCAAUGAUGUAGGCCACGGGAUUGCAUUCAUACAGGAGCCGGAGCUGUGGAGGAACAGAGGCAGGACAAAUUCACCAAGAGCCUAGCAACAUGAAGAGAGAUGCCAGGAAGAAGAGAGAAGCCAGGAAACAAGCCAACCGCACAAUCCCCACAUCAGAGCAGGAGAAGAUGGGGGCCUGCUGGCAGAGCUGGGGCUUGGCUGUGGUCACUCUGAACCUGCUCUUUGGUGUUUUCAUGAGUGGUGGGAAGAAUAGGGACCAUAUGGAGCCCACACAGGAAGCUCUAGCAGUAACACAGCAAGCAGGAAGACAAUUCUAAGGAAGCAGCCCAUAGUCUUCUUUCUUUUCCUGUGCAUCUUCCACUGUCAGUGAGGCUCCUCAUUUAUGGUGAACCCAACUGUGUGUAUCUCCCAAGUUCUCACCCGCAGAUUAAUGUUUUCAGGAAGAUAGGCCAUCAACAGUGAGAGGAAGAAGUUACAUUGUCGUAUGAGGGAUGCAUUUUAACCAUUAAUUUGUGGUACAGGCUGGGCGCAGUGGCUUAUGCAUGUAAUCCCAGCACUUUGGGAGGCCGAGGUGGGUGGAUCACGAGGUCAGGAGAUCGAGACCAUCCUGGCUAACAUGGUGAAACCCCGUCUUUACUAAAUAUACAAAAAAUUGGCCGGGCGUGGUGGUGGGCACCUGUAGUCCCAGCUACUCGGGGGGCUGAGGCAGGAGAAUGGUGUGAACCCGGGAGGCAGAGCUUGCAGUGAGCCGAGAUCGCGCCACUGCACUCCAGCCUGGAUGACAGAGCAAGACUCCAUCUCAAAAAAAAAAAAAAUGUGUGGUACAGUUAUUUUGUUUAUGUUAGUGAUUCAAUCAUAGAAACUAUUCAGUUUCUGGUAUCCCACUCUUACCUGGAGAAAAGAGGAAGCCGCUUUCAUCAGACACUGUGUUCACCCAGCGUAAGGAAAAAGUUGGUAAAAUCUAAAGGAAUCCUCAGACAUAUUAAUAAAAGUGUGCCCAGUCCCUCUCCACAACCCAUGUAGCCACUGUGGUCAGUACCUGCAGGGCAUCUCUCAAAUACCCCUAUGUCUAGUUCUGGUGAUAUCAGUCACUAAAAAUGGGAUCAGCUUGUGGCAGAUACCACCUUAAAUGCUCAUGUCUGUCUCAGUCACUAGGAGGAAAACCAGAGCCUGGAAACCAGAUCCAUUUUGAUGAAUGUCCAAGAUUUUGAGAGUGAAAAACUCCAAAAUGACAGCUCACAGUUGGCAGCUAGGCCAGAAGGUUCCCAAGGAACAUCAGAGGUAUUCCCGGAAUAUAAAGAGGCAAGGCCACAGAAUGACUCCACAUAGCAGAGGUGUUGCUACGAGAGGUGACACUGUCCCUGUCAGAAACAAGUCAGUGCCAAGGAGACUCAAUAACAAAAACAACUAAACAAUCCUUUCCUGCCUAACAUGAGUGACAACUGCUUCUAUAUCAGUGACUUCAAUCUCUCUGCCUCCUAGAUAAAAAUGAUUAAGGUUCCUUGGGAUUUUCUACAUAGACCAUCAUGUCGUCUGCAAGAACAGUGUUAUUACCUGCUUUCCAAUCUGUAUGUGUUUCAUCAUCUUCCUUGCCUUAUUGUGCUGGCUACAACUUUCAGGAUUACAUAUGUUGGGUAACAGUGGCGAGUGAGGACAUCCUUGCUUUGUUACUGAUCUUAGAGUAUAAGCAUUCAGUCUUUCACCAUUAAAUGUAAUGCUAGCUGUAGAUGUACUUGAUAGAGUUAAGGGACGCUCCUCCUCUAUUUCUUGUUUUCUAAGACUUUCUGUUUUUUCAGAGACAGGGUCUUGCUCUGUUGCCCAGGGUGGAGUGCAGUGGCUUGGUCAUGGCUCACUGCAGCCUCCAACUCCUGGGCUUAAGUCAUCCUCCCAUCUCAACUUCUUGAGUAGCUGGGACUACGGGUAUGCACUACCACCCCCCUCUCCAGCUAAUGUCUUUUUUGAGAUGGGGGUCUUGCUAUGUUGCCCAGGCUGGUCUCAAACUCCUGGCCUCAAGCAAUCCUCCUACCUCAGCAAGUUUCUUUUUUAAAUAAUGAAUGAGUGUUGAAUUUGUUCAAAUGUUUUUUCUCCAUCAAUAGAUACGAUUAUGUGAUUUUUCUUCUUUAGCCUGUUGAUAUGGUGGAUUACACUGACUGAUUAUGAAUACUGGAUCAGUCUUCCAUCACCAGAAUAAACCCCACUCAGCCAUGGUGUAUAAUUUAUUUUAUGUAUUGUUGAAUUCUAUUUGCCAAUAUUUUGUUAAGAGUUUUUGCAUUUAUUGAUAAGGAAUAUUGGUCUGUGGUAUUUUUUUGAACAAUCUUUGUCUGGUUUUUGUAUCAGGAUAACACUGGUUUCAUAAAAUGAAUUGGGAAGUGUUCCUUCCUAUUAUCUUUUCUGGAAGAGACUGAAUAAUCUGUGAAUAUUUGUUAUGUUUUUCCAGUAAACCAUCUGAGCCUGGAGAUUUCUUUUCUUGGGCAUGAGUUUCUUAAUAGUAUUGAGCCCUGUAGAUAGCCAUUCAAAGUAUCUAUUUUAUAUUGGGUGAGUUAGAGUAUUGUAGUUUUUGAGACAUUGGUUCGUUUCAUCUAAGUUGUCAAAUGUAUGCAUGUGGAGUUGUUUCUAAUAUUCUCUUUUUAUCCUUUUGAAAAACAAGGCAACCUGAGAUUAACAAUCUACUGCAUAAAUACACAAUUCUCUGAUCAUUUUCCCAAGAUAAAUUCCCAAUAAUUAAAUAAUUGGGUAAAAAUCUUUUGAUACAUAUUGAAAAAUUGUCCUCCAGAAAGAGUGCAUCAAUUUAUACUUUUACCACUAAUAAUAAGAGAGUUCAUUUUAAUUCAGCCUGGUAAACACAAGAUAGCAUUGUCUUUUCAACUUUGUCAAUUUGACAGGUGGACAAAAUGACAUCUCUUUUGUUUUAACUUCUAUUUUUUAUGAGUCAGGUAAAACCUUUUAUAUGUUUAUUUUGACCAUUUUUAUUUUGUAAGUUGUCUCUUUCAUGUCUUGCUUAUUUUUCUAUCAGGAUAUUCAACUUCUUGUUUAUUUUAAUAGCUCUUUAUAUAUAAAGGAUAUUAAUGUCUUGUAUAUGUCACAAAUAUUUUCCUCGAUUGUCAUUGCCUUCUUAUUUAUGGUGCCUGUUUUUGCAGUGCAGUUUUAAAAUUAAAAUUAUUCAUGACAUUCCAUAUGUUUUCUUCUCUUGUCUUUAUGUUUAGACUGAAUUUCUCCUACAUCAAGACAGGGUGACACAAAUAUUCUUGUCUUUUCUUUCUGGUUUUAUUCCCCACCUCUCUACCAAACUCAUCAACUCAUCUGUAAUUUAUUUCUAUGCAUGGAAAAAAAAGAAUGGUUCAGUUUUUGUAUUUGUCUAACACGGUCCUGAGAUUUCAAAAACCCAGUUUAUAUCAGCAAUCUUCAUUGCCAUGACACCUUUCUCAGUAAAUUUUAUAGUAGUUUGCAAAUGAUUUAGUGCGUCUUUUUAUUUUUUUCUACACCAAUAAAUAUCUGAGCCCAUCAGAUAAGUGGUGCUUCCUACCACUACUUUUUGGUAAAAUUAAUGAAAAUUGCAAGAGCUCCAUGUAUUUGGUGGUAGAAAUUAUGAAAUGUGGACUUUUUUCCUUUUUGUUGAGGUAUAAAGCAUAUAGCAGAGCAUACAAAUCUUAAUGGUACAUCUUGAUAAAUUUUUACAAAUAUAUAAUAUACACUUAUGUGUAUUUAUAGAAUAUUUUACAUAACAUCCAGAUCCAUUUAUAUAACAUUUCCAGCAACCUAGUGGACUUUAAGCCUAGUGAAGCCAGGCCUAGUAGUCUCUUCCAGUCACUAUCACCUCCUGCCAAAGGUAACCUCUAUUCUCACCUUUAUCACCAAAUCUAACUUUAUCUGGUUUGGAACAUCAUCUAAAUGAAAUGACACUGCAUAUGUUCUUUUGUAUGGCUUAUGAUUUUCAAGUUUAUUUCUUUGCAAUUUUACCUAUGUUGUUAUACAUAGCAGUUUGUUCUUUUUCAUUGCUAUGUAGUUUUCUGUUGUAUGACUAUAUCACAAUUUAUUUCUCCAUUCUCAUGUUGAUAUGCAUUUGGAUUUUUCUGGUUUGGGGCUACUAUGACUAAUUUCUCCAUCUUUGGGCAGACACAGAAUUCCUUUCUUCUGUGUGGGUCCCAGGAGUGAAAUUGCUUGGCCAUAGUGUGUAAAUAUCUGUUUAGCAUUAGUAGGUCCUAUCAAAUGUUUUCCAAAGUAGUUAUACUAUUUGAUAGUCCCACCAAUGAGGUAUAAGAAUUCCAGUUUCUUUGCCAACACUUGGUAUGCUUAGUCUUUUUAGAUUUAGCCACUCUGGAAGAGGAGAAUGGUGUCUCACUGUGGUUUUAAUUUCCAUCUUCCUAACGUAACUGGGCAGCUUAACUUCAUAAUAUAUUUUAAAACAUUUUUCCCUUCUCUUGGGUUUCAAGAUAUAACCUUGAAGCAAACUGCAGAAGUCUUUUCUCUUAGCUAUAAAAUAGCUCCCUUUCUCACCAUAUAUACUCCCUGCACAUUUAGCUAACUGCAUGCUAGUAUCUAUUAUGUGCCUUCUUAGAAGUUCCAGGAGGUAAUCUUGAGACGGACAGACCAAGCAUGGAGACCUAGCUGCAAAAUUCCAGAGAUUACUUCCAUGCAGCUAAUUAACAACUCGGCCACUGUUGAGAUGAUGUCAGCCUGAGGUCCAGGUGGACUGGCACCAAAGAUAAUCAUAAAAACAAGACCCAGAGAUACUGUACUCAGCACAAUUCUCUUGCAUGCCCUCCUUAAUCAAGUUUUCCUCUUUUAAACCCCUCCCUUCCCCCGAAAUAGUCAAAGUGGUUGCUUUGAUGGGAAUCUGGCCACUUCCCCUUUACUAGUUGUGGUUAAUAAAGUCACUUUCUAUCUACCAGGCCUCACUCUUGUUAACUGGACUCUGCAGGCAGUGAGCAUGUGGACCUGCAUUCAGUUACAAUUUUAGUGGCCCAUACAGUGUGCUCUGGGGGCCCAAGCCCAUGGUCUGGUUUCUAUUGGACAGGGCCUGUGGGGCUGCCUGUAGGCUCCAGUUGCUUGUGGCUACCUGACCCCUUGGCUGGAAUGCUAGGGAGUCUCCUGCAGCUGCCUAGAUGCUUUUGUCUUGGGGAUCCUCUCUUUCUCUUCCUGCUGCAGUGCCUGCUACCUCCAAUAUUUCACUGGUGCACUGAAAGUGACUUUUAGAGAAGUGACAAACUUUGGAAUUUUGGAACUUUGAAACUUCGGAACUUGGUGAGUUAGUCGGAGUGCAUUUGACCACCAUCUGCCUCUUUUGGGAUGUCACUGGGACUCUGCUCUAUUUAGACUUGGCCACUAGUGACACCAUUUGAGCAUUUUAUGCAUUUGUAUUUGUUUGUAUUUGUGGCACCCUUGGGGCCUUGCUGGGUUCAGGCUGUUCCAGGGCUGGGGUUGGGGGGGCAUUGGAAACUGAGGUGAGGGAUUUGGGACUCUACUCAGCCCUCCCUCCCCCCACUUCUUCCAAGUCAUCCUCCUGAUAAUCUUGGGGCACCCACAGCCUUAUUCCUCUUGGCCAAAAGCACCCACAGCUCCCUCUGGCUAGAAACAUUUCACCUUGACUGGUGACUUGCAAAGGUGGGAAGGGUUCAUCCCACACCAUGUAGGUCUGGGGCACUGAGGCUCUCCCUGACAGGAGAUACACCCGGGUGGUGAGGGUACUGACCCCAAGCCUUGCAGUGGCUGAAAGGCUCACAAGCCUCCCCUCCUUCCUUUCUCUUUCCUCUUCCUUCCUGUAAAACUUGACCUUUGUCCUCUACAUCUCUUUCUUUUCUUUUUCUCAUUUCCUGUCCAAUCCAGGGGUUCAGCCUUGAAGGAGAAAAACAGUUUCCAACAUCAUGGCCUCUGAUUUUGUCAUCUUCUCUGGGACUGGUUACAUAUUCUGGCCCAUUUUUGUGCACAUUUUAAACUGAUGGGCAAAUUACAACAAGAAAAAUUCAGAGUUCAAAUGGUUAACCUACACUGUGGAGUUAAGUAGAAUCUUCUUUAGCUCUCUACCUUCCUCUCUUUUCUGCCUGCUUUAAAUCUGCUGUUAUUAAACUGCUGGCGCGAGACAAGACUCAUUAUUUAUGGUCUAAAUUGAAUAUAAACAUUGAAAACUCAUUUGAAACUGAACAGCAAAAAGGGGAAAAGAUUUAAAAAGAAAAAAACCCAAACUGCCAUAGAGACUGCUUUACCCCAAAUUUUGGCUGCCAGCUUUCCUUGGAUUACCUAUCAGGGCAAACAAAGUUAGCCACGUGGACAGCUUCCAGUUUUGUCAGAAAAACAACUUGAAGCCAGCUUUUAUAGGUCAGUGAGUUUGUGAUGCUAUCUCAUGAUUAGAGUUCUCAGAUAAAAGCUCUUAGACCUUUGUUUGUGUAUGGAUGUAUACAUGUUUAGAUAUGUUUAUGUAAUGUACAUGUUAUAGUUAUGUUCUGUCGUGUCUAGCAUGCUACCAAAUUGGCUUUAUAAGUAAGUGAGUACACAUAAAUUAAGUUCAAAUGCUUUCCAAGUUCGCAUGAAUCUUUGAUAAAUAAAACUGGCUUCAAAAAUUAUUAGUAAAAUAAAAACAAAAAUGCCUUCAGAAUCAUCAGCAUACAUUUGUGUCUAAGCAAAUAAAUUUUGUAUUUGUCUCUGCUAAAUGUUUAAAGUGUCAGGGUUUGGCGCAAAGAUUGUAAGAUUAUAACCCAGCCAAACACAGAGUAAUCUUUGUGUAAUUUUUUUGACAAAUAAGACUAAGUUAGGAUUGUUAGUUCAAUGAAAGCAACUGAAUCCUCUGAGCUAUUGGCAAAAUGACCAUGGAUUUAACUUUGAGGUUCUUACUUAGGUGUUCACCUAAUGUUCGGACUUUUAAAAUGGUUAACAGGGAAAUAACUUUAAAUAAUGACUAACUUUGUAUAAUAUCUGUUUUCAGAAAGAAUCUAGAUAAACUUAAAGAUUAAAAAAUUAAAUACACAUAAAUGAAAUAUGUUUUUUAAGUGAAUUUUUUCUGUAAUUUAAAAUCUUAAAAUUAUUUUAAAUUAAAUAAUAAAUGCUUAUUGGAUGUCUGGUUUACUUCUAAUUUUUUAAAAAUUAUAAUAAAUUAUGG